AUGAAUUUUUUCAAAUCAUUUAUGGCUCUUGCAUGAAUCACAAGAGUUUUAAGAAACCUAGCUGCAGAAUAAAAUGACUACUAGUGUCCGUAAUACCUGCAUGCUGUUACUCUUUCAAAAAUCAAACUUUUUUUGUUUCAGUCUUAUUCUACCCUAUCUUACUGUGUUUUUUUUAUGUUCAGGUCACAUGUCACCAAGAAAACAGAGAACUAGGGGCAACUGGAAUCAGGAGAAUAUAAGUUUGGCAAGGGUAAUGAAAAAUAAGUAUAUAAGCAAAAGUGCAAUGAAAAAAAAAAACAUGUAAUUGUUA
rnacentral:lncRNA from 1 species